rnacentral:misc_RNA from 1 species
GAUAAGAAGACGUGCUUAAUGAUUUGAGGCCCUUUCAGCCUUGGAAGAAAAACUCCAUUGUUGCUUUAAAGUGUCCUUGUUCUUUAAGGGUACUGUUCUUUUAUUCUUCCAGAUGAUGAUAACCGGGCGGCAUUGCAACAAAAAUUUGUUCUGCCUUACUUGGAAGCUAGGAUUUAUAGUGGGUGGGCUUUAAGCCUUUGUAUGGGUAGUCUAGC